rnacentral:rRNA from 1 species
UACGGAGGGUGCAAGCGUUGUCCGGAAUCACUGGGCGUAAAGGGCGCGUAGGCGGCUCGGUAAGUAGGGGGUGAAAUCCUGCGGCUUAACCGCAGGGCUGCCUUCUAAACUGUCGAGCUUGAGCACGGUAGAGGCAGAUGGAAUUCCCGGUGUAGCGGUGGAAUGCGUAGAGAUCGGGAAGAACAUCAGUGGCGAAGGCGGUCUGCUGGGCCGUUGCUGACAGCUGAGGCGC